GAUUAACGCUGGCGGCAUGCCUAAUACAUGCAAAUCGAACGAAGCCUUUUGGCUUAGUGGUGAACGGGUGAGUAACACGUAUCCAAUCUACCCUUAAGUUUGGGAUAACUAGUCGAAAGAUUAGCUAAUACCGGAUAAUAACAUUCACUUGCAUGAGUGAAUGUGGAAAGUUGCGUUUGCAACGCUUUUGGAUGAGGGUGCGACAUAUCAGAUAGUUGGUGAGGUAACGGCUCACCAAGUCGACGAUCGGUAGCCGGACUGAGAGGUUGAACGGCCACAUUGGGACUGAGACACGGCCCAG
rnacentral:rRNA from 1 species